rnacentral:lncRNA from 1 species
UAUAUGACUCGACAAGGGGACCAGUGAACAGAAGAACAGAAAUCAGAAUUCUGACAACAUAACAGAAGGCAGAAGUCCUUGUGAGUCAUUCUCGGAGACCAUAGGGCAGAACGCAAAGAACAUAACAUAGGAGUCAAAUGGAGCCGAACACUUCAGUCACUCACGUGAUGGCUGUGUGUCCUUGGGCUCUACAAGAAGCAUGGUAUCAGCAUCUG